rnacentral:pre_miRNA from 1 species
UCGACGAGCCUCGCCGGUGGCUGGGCGAGCUUGGGCUCGCCGGAUCUAGGUGAGCCCAAGCUCGCCCAACCAAGGUGAGGCGAAGCCU